AAAGUGAAUUUGGUCCAAUCUCAUUGCAACUAGCUAUAGUACCAAACAAAUACUAUGUCUCCCUCUUAGUUUGCCCUUGUCCUUUGUCCAGUUUCCCAAUAAAAAUAGAAAAGGCUCAUCUGAGUAAAUUAAUUGAAUGCAUGAAACAGGAAUAGAAAUGAGGGAAAAAUCAUAGUUGAACUAAGACUCAAAGAUAAGCUAGUGAAAGUGAAGAAAAUUGGUAAUAAGAUUAUCUCCUUGAAA
rnacentral:misc_RNA from 1 species